GGGAUAACAGUUGGAAACGGCUGCUAAUACCGCAUAAGCGCACGGCAUCGCAUGAUGCAGUGUGAAAAACUCCGGUGGUAUAAGAUGGACCCGCGUUGGAUUAGCUAGUUGGUGAGGUAACGGCCCACCAAGGCGACGAUCCAUAGCCGACCUGAGAGGGUGACCGGCCACAUUGGGACUGAGACACGGCCCAAACUCCUACGGGAGGCAGCAGUGGGGAAUAUUGCACAAUGGGCGAAAGCCUGAUGCAGCGACGCCGCGUGAGCGAAGAAGUAUUUCGGUAUGUAAAGCUCUAUCAGCAGGGAAGAUAAUGACGGUACCUGACUAAGAAGCACCGGCUAAAUACGUGCCAGCAGCCGCGGUAAUACGUAUGGUGCAAGCGUUAUCCGGAUUUACUGGGUGUAAAGGGAGCGCAGGCGGUGCGGCAAGUCUGAUGUGAAAGCCCGGGGCUCAACCCCGGUACUGCAUUGGAAACUGUCGUACUAGAGUGUCGGAGGGGUAAGCGGAAUUCCUAGUGUAGCGGUGAAAUGCGUAGAUAUUAGGAGGAACACCAGUGGCGAAGGCGGCUUACUGGACGAUAACUGACGCUGAGGCUCGAAAGCGUGGGGAGCAAACAGGAUUAGAUACCCUGGUAGUCCACGCCGUAAACGAC
rnacentral:rRNA from 1 species